rnacentral:rRNA from 1 species
GACGAACGCUGGCGGCGUGCUUAACACAUGCAAGUCGAACGGAAAGGCCCUGCUUUUGUGGGGUGCUCGAGUGGCGAACGGGUGAGUAACACGUGAGUAACCUGCCCUUGACUUUGGGAUAACUUCAGGAAACUGGGGCUAAUACCGGAUAGGAGCUCCUGCUGCAUGGUGGGGGUUGGAAAGUUUCGGCGGUUGGGGAUGGACUCGCGGCUUAUCAGCUUGUUGGUGGGGUAGUGGCUUACCAAGGCUUUGACGGGUAGCCGGCCUGAGAGGGUGACCGGCCACAUUGGGACUGAGAUACGGCCCAGACUCCUAUGGGAGGCAGCAGUGGGGAAUAUUGCACAAUGGGCGGAAGCCUGAUGCAGCAACGCCGCGUGCGGGAUGACGGCCUUCGGGUUGUAAACCGCUUUCGCCUGUGACGAAGCGUGAGUGACGGUAAUGGGUAAAGAAGCACCGGCUAACUACGUGCCAGCAGCCGCGGUGAUACGUAGGGUGCGAGCGUUGUCCGGAUUUAUUGGGCGUAAAGGGCUCAUAGGUGGUUGAUCGCGUCGGAAGUGUAAUCUUGGGGCUUAACCCUGAGCGUGCUUUCGAUACGGGCUGACUUGAGGAAGGUAGGGGAGAAUGGAAUUCCUGGUGGAGCGGUGGAAUGCGCAGAUAUCAGGAGGAACACCAGUGGCGAAGGCGGUUCUCUGGGCCUUUCCUGACGCUGAGGAGCGAAAGCGUGGGGAGCGAACAGGCUUAGAUACCCUGGUAGUCCACGCUGUAAACGGUGGGUACUAGGUGUGGGGUCCAUUCCACGGGUUCCGUGCCGUAGCUAACGCUUUAAGUACCCCGCCUGGGGAGUACGGCCGCAAGGCUAAAACUCAAAGGAAUUGACGGGGCCCCGCACAAGCGGCGGAGCAUGCGGAUUAAUUCGAUGCAACGCGUAGAACCUUACCUGGGUUUGACAUGGAUCGGGAGUGCUCAGAGAUGGGUGUGCCUCUUUUGGGGUCGGUUCACAGGUGGUGCAUGGCUGUCGUCAGCUCGUGUCGUGAGAUGUUGGGUUAAGUCCCGCAACGAGCGCAACCCUUGUUCACUGUUGCCAGCACGUUAUGGUGGGGACUCAGUGGAGACCGCCGGGGUCAACUCGGAGGAAGGUGGGGAUGACGUCAAGUCAUCAUGCCCCUUAUGUCCAGGGCUUCACGCAUGCUACAAUGGCUGGUACAGAGAGUGGCGAGCCUGUGAGGGUGAGCGAAUCUCGGAAAGCCGGUCUCAGUUCGGAUUGGGGUCUGCAACUCGACCUCAUGAAGUCGGAGUCGCUAGUAAUCGCAGAUCAGCAACGCUGCGGUGAAUACGUUCCCGGGGCU